GGCCAAGCAUGAAGAUUAGAUGAUGAGAGAUACCUGCACCGAGAUAUCAAACUCUUUGGGAAAGAAGAGGAGAAAAUUAAGAUCACAUGAUGAAACAACAUCUCAUUGGGGACGGCUAAAAAAUUCGUCCUCAUGCUUAUACAAUAUGCACUCUGUUUGAGCAAUAUUAAGACAUCAAUGGAUGGGGCCGAAUGGAUCAAAGCAGCAGCUCCAGCCUCCAGGGUAAUAUAUAUAAUGUUUAUCCCACCCCAAGAAAAGAAAAUAGAUAAAUAAUACUGGCAUCAUGAAGCAAUCUGAUCAGAAUAUAAAAAGGAGAGAGGGGGGGACCUGAUUGCUUCAACAUGAGAUGGUUGAUGUGUCAUCAGAUCAGAGGCCAGUCAGGCAGCCCUCGGCGACAGAUUUUGUUUUCUAGAGUCAACUUGUGGAGAGAAGGGAAGCGCGAUUGUUCUUCACC
rnacentral:lncRNA from 1 species